UACGGAGGAUCCGAGCGUUAUCCGGAUUUAUUGGGUUUAAAGGGUGCGUAGGCGGUUUGAUAAGUUAGAGGUGAAAUGUCGGGGCUCAACCCCGAAACUGCCUCUAAUACUGUUGGACUAGAGAAUAGUUGCGGUAGGCGGAAUGUAUGGUGUAGCGGUGAAAUGCUUAGAGAUCAUACAGAACACCGAUUGCGAAGGCAGCUUACCAAACUAUAUCUGACGUUGAGGCACGAAAGCGUGGGUAGCAAGCAGG
rnacentral:rRNA from 1 species